rnacentral:rRNA from 1 species
AUUGAACGCUGGCGGCAGGCCUAACACAUGCAAGUCGAGCGGAGCGGCGGACGGGUGAGUAAUGCCUAGGAAUCUGCCUGGUAGUGGGGGAUAACGUCCGGAAACGGGCGCUAAUACCGCAUACUAUCAGAUGAGCCUAGGUCGGAUUAGCUAGUUGGUGGGGUAAAGGCCUACCAAGGCGACGAUCCGUAACUGGUCUGAGAGGCUGAUCAGUCACCCUGGAACUGAGACACGGUCCACACUCCUUCUUUCUCCCUCUUUCUCCCCUAUUUUAACCUCUUCGAAAGCCUGAUCCAGCCAUGCCGCGUGUGUGAAUACCUUCUUCAGAUUUUCACGCACUUUAAGUUGGGAGGCGUUACCAACAGAAUAAGCACCGGCUAACUUCGUGCCAGCAGCCGCGGUAAUAC